rnacentral:rRNA from 1 species
CCUACGGGGGGCAGCAGUGGGGAAUAUUGCACAAUGGGCGCAAGCCUGAUGCAGCCAUGCCGCGUGUGUGAAGAAGGCCUUCGGGUUGUAAAGCACUUUCAGCGAGGAGGAAGGGUUCAGUGUUAAUAGCACUGUUCAUUGACGUUACUCGCAGAAGAAGCACCGGCUAACUCCGUGCCAGCAGCCGCGGUAAUACGGAGGGUGCAAGCGUUAAUCGGAAUUACUGGGCGUAAAGCGCGCGUAGGUGGUUUAUUAAGUUGGAUGUGAAAUCCCCGGGCUCAACCUGGGAACUGCAUCCAAAACUGAUUCACUAGAGUACGAUAGAGGGAGGUAGAAUUCACAGUGUAGCGGUGGAAUGCGUAGAUAUUGUGAAGAAUACCAAUGGCGAAGGCAGCCUCCUGGAUCUGUACUGACACUGAGGUGCGAAAGCGUGGGUAGCG